CCUCUACUUUCUUUUUUUUCUUUUCUUUUACAUAAUUAUAAUAUCCACCGGCCACCUUAACUAUUAUUAAUAAGAAGUAACAUAUAAACGUAUUUUAACGAGGUAAUAUAUAAAUGUAUUUCUAUCAGCUGAACUCAAGCCCACAUGAACUCAACUCUUCCAUCGCCAAAUUGCACUUGAUCAUCUUUUAAUUCGAUCAUGAUUAAGUGCUUGUAGGCUUGGUCAACGAAGUUAUCGUCACCGAUGAUGCCAACCCAAUUCCCUUCUUUGUCUCAACUCUCAACGUGUCAUAACGUAGGAAAAGCUCCACCAAAAUAACCCUAGCUAGGAGCACCACCAAAUCUUUCCCUGGACACUGCUUAUCUUCUACCAUUGGAUCUUUCGUCUCACGAUCAUUUGACCAGUGUACAUACUUCAGUAGCUUUUCUGCCUCCUCUCCGACAAACCUAUGGCCCACAAACUCCCGUGGAUUAUGAAAAACUUUAGGAUCAUUUGUAGCGAACGGCUGAUAUCCAAAGAUCAUUUCACCUUUCUUGAUCUCAUAGGAUGCAUCAUGGCGGUGGACCACCAUAUCCUCCUUGGCCUUACCGUACUGGAACGGCACCGGAGGUUCAAUCCUUAAAGAUUCAUAAACGACUGACUUGGUCAAAAUCAUCUUAUCCAAGGCUUGGAAGGUGACUCCACCUUCUUGCUUAACGACGGUCCUGAUUUCAUGGGCGAG
rnacentral:misc_RNA from 1 species